GAGGGGACCGGCGUAAAGGGCGGCGGGGUUGACGCUGCUUGCGAACAGUGUCCGAUGGCUAGCUGCCAAUCGACCAUUUAUUGAGCGCCUCCUGUGUGCCAAACACGGCCCAAGGCUCUUUGGAAUACGGUGAUCUCUGUACUCAUGGGAGUUUACGGUGUAGAGAAGACUGAACAAGUGACCGUUGCUUUCCUUUUUCCUCCCUUCUGCCCCUUCGCCUUAGAUGGAGAUUUUCUCUUUCCGAACCCGGAAUCGCUCCUUCGUCUCCGCCCACAGCCGGCGCCAGCCUCCCCUUUCUACUGAGGGUGGUGACACAGGCGAGGACGGGCGCUGCCGGGCGCCGCCGGUCGCGCGACCUGGCCGUAGGCGGAGUCCUUCCCCUCCCUCCUUCGGCCCGCGUCGUCGUCACCAGCUUUUAUUGGGCACGUGGCGGCUGAUGCGCAGUAAAUAGGAGUGACUCUGGGCGGCCACUCUGCGAAGUCCUAGGGCUGCCUCCUUCUGACAGAGCACCUGGAAGAAAUUCUCACCUGAAAAUCCCACCAGAGACACCUGGAAGUGCCCUCCCCCACAGGUUGACCACCAUUCUUCCCAGCCAAGGUGAAGCCUCUCGCCAUGGCAGGGCCACACCGGUCCUUCCUUCCCCUCCUUGGCCGGCCGCACCAAAGAAACCAAACCCAAGCCGAAGUAUCAGAAACGUGUAUUCUUUUUCUUUUAAUAGUAAACCUCUUUACAACAAAUAUAGUGAAAGAGUUUUCAAACAAAACUCAUAAGAAUCUCGAGGACUUUGUCUUUUCUUAUUGUGUAGAAUACUAAGAAAGCAUCACCAUACAGCACGAAAAGAAAUAUUGAAAACAAA